rnacentral:tRNA from 1 species
ACUAUUUUGGCAGAAUUUAGUGCAGUGGAUUUAGAUUCUAUGUAUAUGAUAUUAUAAUCAUAAAUAGUA